rnacentral:rRNA from 1 species
AUGUGAUCGUCUCUCGCAUAUCAAUAAGCGGAGGAAAAGAAGCUAACAAGGAUUCCCCUAGUAACGGCGAGUGAAGCGGGAAGAGCUCAAAUUUGAAAUCUUAAAGGGUUUCCCUUUACGAAUUGUAGUUUAAAGAAGUGUUUUCUGUUGAGGUUUUGGUAAAGGUUCUUUGGAAUAGGACAUCAUAGAGGGUGAGAAUCCCGUAUUUGACCUUUACUUUCAACUUUGUGAUACACUUUCAAAGAGUCGGAUUGUUUGGGAAUGCAGUCCAAAAUGGGUGGUAAAUUUCAUCUAAAGCUAAAUAUUGGCGAGAGACCGAUAGCGAACAAGUACCGUGAGGGAAAGAUGAAAAGAACUUUGAAAAGAGAGUUAAACAGUACGUGAAAUUGUCAAAAGGGAAGCGUUUGACACCAGUGUUGUUUUUCUGAAAAUCAAUUAAAGAACUGUUUAUGCUAAGUUGUUUAGACUUUAUCAGCUAUCUGUUUAGUUUUGAGCUUUUCUUUAAUGCACUUUUCAGUUAACAAGUCAACAUCAAUUUCUUUUGCUGUAAAAAAGCUUGAGGAAGGUGGCUUGAGAUUCGUCUUAAGUGUUUAUAGCCUCUUGCCUAUGCAGUCGGAGAGAUUGAGGUCUGCAGCGUAGAUCCUUCGGGGCUAAAUGCAUUUGUGCUAAGUUAUAACAUUUUAUAGACAACUUGUUGACUAUGAUUUGUCUUGUAGCUUACUCGCUUAUGUUAUUUUACCUACGCUUAGGAUGUUGAAGACUCUACAGAGAUA